UACGUAGGGACCGAGCGUUGUCCGGAUUCAUUGGGCGUAAAGAGCUCGUAGGCGGCUGCUCAAGUCGAAUGUGAAAACUCGAGGCUCAACCUCGAGCCUGCUCCCGAUACUGCCGACCUGGAGACCAGUAGAGGUGGGUAGAAUUCCCGGUGUAGCGGUGGAAUGCGUAGAGAUCGGGAAGAAUACCUGUGGCGAAGGCGGCCCACUGGGCUGGAUCUGACGCUGAGGCGCGAAAGCGUGGGGAGCAAACAGGG
rnacentral:rRNA from 1 species